CCCGUCGCCUAGGACUGUCACCGGCGCCGCUGGGGCCUCAGAGCAGGAACACAGACUAGUCAAUAGAGAUCCUCAGAGGGGAGAGGAACGUCUCUUUCAACCCUGAUCAGUGAGUUUACCUGACCUCCCAGAAACUGACCCCAAAACCGGGUACCGUGGCGUAUGCCUGCCGUCCUCGCACGCAGGAGCUUCAGGCAGAAGAAUCACCGUGAGUUCAAGCUAGCCUAGGAUACAAAGUGAGGCCUGUCUCAGAUUCUAUGGACGGACGGAUGGAUGGUUGCAUGUUCUUCUAGGACUGAAAUUCCACUGCCUGUGUUUGGCUGUGUGGUGGGCAAAGAGCAGCAAGUGAAUUGCUGCAAGCUUGAGGACAAAUCAGCAACAGAACCACUUAACAAUAAAGGGUGUGGUCACACCAAGCGGAUUGUCACA